UAUGAGAAAUAAAUAUGUUGGAUAUUAUAAGAAAGGUUAAUUAUAUAAGGUAUUGAUAGGAUUUUAACUCGUCAUUUGUUUCGUCACCAACUCAAAUUUAACCGAAUAAUAGGCCAUCCCCAAAAAAUAUCUAUUUGUUAUCCCUUUUUGUCCCGGUGUUUCUACUGUAAAAUAUAUAUAACGUAUUUAUGGGAAUGGAAAAUAACAUAUCUCAAACUAUUAAAAUCAAACCUAAUAAUAAAAAAAAGUAUAUCCACAAGGUGUAUUUAGCACAUCUCAUUUCAUCAUAAAAUAUUAAAACUCAAUAAAAUCGUUCAAACCAAACUGGAGAACACUAGGAAAAUUCACUAAUCCAAACAACCACACCCUUUGAAUUUGUAAACACUCGACUGAUUCUUCACUUACUGAUUCAUAUAUAACAUCCAACAACUCUCAAGCAAUGCAAACACACUUGCACUCACAUUUUACUAUACGUAAUGCAUAUAGUACUUAAACACGCUCAGAUUAAGUAGUAAAAUACACCACCUUAUCUGUUUAUUAUAAAAGCAUGAGUUCAAUGUCCCAAUCCAUUGUGAUCACUACUCACUUUCACUUGAGAGCUCGACUCUUUGGCAUCACCAAUGCAAUGGGGACAAGGAUUUGGUCCUCCCGGAAUAUAUCGAUCUGCUAAAUUAUUUAAUAAUUUGCGAUUCUUAGUUAUGACUCCUGCAUUUAUUUCAUUACUUAAUCCAACAACCAAAACAGCAGCCGCAAACAAAAUAACGCAAAAUUUCUUCAUCAUCACCAUGCUCGCCAAUGAUCACCUGAAAACGAAUACUUCAUUAAAUUAUCACAAAUAUUAUGAAAAAUAAAAAAAAUAUGAAAUUCAAAAGGACUGUAUAUGAGCUCUACCAACCUCAGAUUUCUUUGUGUUGCAUGUUGCUUCCUAGGUGGGCAGUAUAUAUAGGGAAAAAAGAUGUUAAAUUAUUACUCAACUUAAAUUAUUAAGAAAUAGACUCGUAUGGACUAUAAGAACUUAAAAG
rnacentral:lncRNA from 1 species